rnacentral:rRNA from 1 species
AUUGAACGCUGGCGGCAUGCCUUACACAUGCAAGUCGAACGGCAGCGGACCUUCGGGUGCCGGCGAGUGGCGAACGGGUGAGUAAUAUAUCGGAACGUACCUUUCAGUGGGGGAUAACGUAGCGAAAGUUACGCUAAUACCGCAUAUUCUGUGAGCAGGAAAGCAGGGGAUCGCAAGACCUUGCGCUGAUUGAGCGGCCGAUAUCAGAUUAGCUAGUUGGUGAGGUAAAGGCUCACCAAGGCGACGAUCUGUAGCGGGUCUGAGAGGAUGAUCCGCCACACUGGAACUGAGACACGGUCCAGACUCCUACGGGAGGCAGCAGUGGGGAAUUUUGGACAAUGGGCGGCAAGCCUGAUCCAGCCAUGCCGCGUGAGUG